UCCGUGUUAACCACGGCAGUCUCCUUAGAGAGCCCAACUGAAUGCUGGCAACUAAGGACAAGGGUUGCGCUCGUUGCGGGACUUAACCCAACAUGUCACCACACGAGCUGACGACAGCCAUGCAGCACCUGUCUUCCGGUCGUAUUGCUACGAAGACCGUAUCUCUACGGCUGUCCGGAGAUGUCAAACCCAGGUAAGGUUCUUCGCGUUGCUUCGAAUUAAACCACAUGAUCCACCGCUUGUGCGGGCCCCCGUCAAUUCCUUUGAGUUUUAGUCUUGCGACCGUACUUCCCAGGCGGGGAACUUAUCGCGUUAGCUCCGGUUCUGCAGGGGUCAAGACCCGCAAAACCUAGUUCCCAUCGUUUACAGCGUGGACUAC
rnacentral:misc_RNA from 1 species